rnacentral:lncRNA from 1 species
GCAGAAAACCUCAUUGAUUUGGAAGUCGUCCAUCAGAAUGCCCUUCCCAGUUCCUGAGGACCUAAUAGAAAGAGCAGCACUUCUUCGAUGUGCACAGAAAUGCUGUAUAUGGUAAAGGACAAAGGGUUUUUAAGACACUUAGCUUUUUGGUCAUUGAAUCUAGAAGGAUACCUCAAAUAUCACCAACUCUACAACAGAUAGGUACGUGGCUAUGUGUUCAGGAAAUGAAUUACAAUAAACAUCCAUUCAGAAAUUUCAAACGGCUUUAUUGGAGCUUUUUAAUGUUAAUAACUGACGGUAUUGUUUUCUUUAGAUACACUCAACCCUGGACUUGGACAAGUGCUGUGUUUCAAAAUGCAGAAACGUCCCGGACACGCCACAUGCCCCCUUGUGAAACGAUGGAUGGAUUCCGUACCCAUGGGAGAAUCUCUGGUUGCUCUCUUGGAUCAGCAGUCCUACCCUCCCUUCAACUAACCGAGAGGGGACAUCAGCACCCAGGCUCUGUUCUAAGGCACAGGAGAGAGGGACCCAGGAGAACUCUCACUUUACAUGAAGGUUCUUUCAGAUCUAAGAGUCUACUAUUUCAAGAUGGCGACCGUGUUUUCCUCAUCUCCAAAGAGGAUUCAAGAAGAAAUGGGAUUUAA